GAGCGAAUGAUAGAGAAGACUGCUCUCUCUGAUUUAGCGGCGGACGGGUGAGUAACACGGUGGGUAAACCUACCCUAUAGACUGGGAUAACUCGGGAAACCGGAGCUAAUACCGGAUAAUACUUCGAAACACAUGUUUUGAAGUUGAAAGAUGGUUUCGGGCUAUCACUAUAGGAUGGACCCGCGGCGCAUUAGCUAGUUGGUGAGGUAACGGCUCACCAAGGCAACGAUGCGUAGCCGACCUGAGAGGGUGAUCGGCCACACUGGGACUGAGACACGGCCCAGACUCCUACGGGAGGCAGCAGUAGGGAAUCUUCCACAAUGGACGAAAGUCUGAUGGAGCAACGCCGCGUGAGUGGAGAAGGAUUUCGGUUCGUAAAACUCUGUUGCAAGGGAAGAACAAGUAGCGUAGUAACUGGCGCUACCUUGACGGUACCUUGUUAGAAAGCCACGGCUAACUACGUGCCAGCCGCCGC
rnacentral:rRNA from 1 species